GACGUAGGGGGCCAGCGUUGUUCGGAAUUACUGGGCGUAAAGGGUUCGUAGGCGGUGUGGCAAGUCGGGUGUGAAAUCUCUGGGCUCAACCCAGAGACUGCUUCCGAAGCUGCUGUGCUUGAGUGUGAGAGAGGCUCGUGGAAUUGCAGGUGUAGCGGUGAAAUGCGUAGAUAUCUGGAGGAACACCCGUGGCGAAAGCGGCGAGCUGGAUCACUACUGACGCUGAGGAACGAAAGCUAGGGGAGCAAACAGG
rnacentral:rRNA from 1 species